UACGUAGGGGGCGAGCGUUAUCCGGAUUUAUUGGGCGUAAAGGGCGCGUAGGCGGCUCUCAGCAGUGGCGCGUGGAAUCUCCCGGCUCACCUGGGAGGGGCCGUGCCAGACGGGGGAGCUGGAGGCAGGUAGAGGGUCGCGGAACGGGCGGAGUAGGGGUGAAAUCCGUAGAGACCGUCCGGAACACCGAUGGCGAAGGCAGCGACCUGGGCCUGUCCUGACGCUGAGGCGCGAAAGCGUGGGGAGCGAACAGG
rnacentral:rRNA from 1 species